rnacentral:rRNA from 1 species
UACGUAGGGGGCAAGCGUUGUCCGGAUUUAUUGGGCGUAAAGAGCGUGUAGGCGGCCUGAAAGGUCAGCUGUGAAAACUCGAGGCUCAACCUCGAGACGUCGGUUGAAACCAUCUGGCUAGAGUCCGGAAGAGGAGAGUGGAAUUCCCGGUGUAGCGGUGAAAUGCGCAGAUAUUGGGAGGAACACCAGUGGCGAAGGCGGCUCGCUGGACCGGUUCUGACGCUGAGGCGCGAAAGCGUGGGGAGCAAACGGG